GACAUAUCACAUUGAAACACCAGUUCACUUCUGAUCACAGAAGUUAAGCAACAUUGAGCCUGGUCAGUACCUAGAUGGGUGGCUACUUUGGAAUACCAAGUGCUGUAAG